rnacentral:rRNA from 1 species
AUUGAACGCUGGCAGCAUGCCUUACACAUGCAAGUCGAACGGCAGCACGGGGCAACCUGGUGGCGAGUGGCGAACGGGUGAGUAAUGCAUCGGAACGUACCUUUCAGUGGGGGAUAACGUAGCGAAAGUUACGCUAAUACCGCAUAUUCUGUGAGCAGGAAAGCAGGGGAUCGCAAGACCUUGCGCUGAUUGAGCGGCCGAUGUCAGAUUAGCUAGUUGGUGAGGUAAAGGCUCACCAAGGCGACGAUCUGUAGCGGGUCUGAGAGGAUGAUCCGCCAGACUGGACCUGAGACACGGUCCAGCCUCCUACGGGAGGCAGCAGUGGGGAAUUUUGGACAAUGGGGGCAACCCUGAUCCAGCCAUGCCGCGUGAGUGAAGAAGGCCUUCGGGUUGUAAAGCUCUUUCGGCCGGGAAGAAAUCGCACGGGCUAAUACCCUGUGUGGAUGACGGUACCGGAAUAAGAAGCACCGGCUAACUACGUGCCAGCCGCCGCGGUAAAAC